UAGGCUCAUUAAGAUUAUUAAGCAGUAACUAUGGGUGAACUGCUGGAGACGGGCAAGGGCUUGUUUUUUCCAAAUGGAUUUUCAUCCAAAGGCCCAGUGGAAGACUUCGAGUUUGAUAUUCGUGAUUACAGUCACAAUGAAGUUCCCCUGAAGUCACAGUGAGCCAGCUGUACGAGCAGAUUAAGCUACGAAUGCUGCGCAUCUACACCUCAAAGAAUGGCUAAAGACGUAAUACUUGUCUCUGAUGCAUCGUCGGACUUCGAGCCCACAGAUGAGAGGCCAAUGAAGACUAGGACAAUGCACAGACGAUCCUUGGAACAAAACCAGGAGACGUCAUCACUGGAGGACUGGAACUGAUCAUCGAGUGGAUCAUCCAGAGAGCUCCACUGAUUUAGGUCCAGCACCCAGUGGCUCAAUGCAGAAAAACCAUAAAAAAAGCGGAGAACCAAUCAGUCAAUCAAGACCAGCAACCCCUGAGAUGAGCAACACAGAGGUCCUGCAUCCACCAUCUUCCGAUGAUGUUGGCAGUCAUACUUGGCAGUCAACAAGCAGGCAAGGAUCUGAAGACGACUGUUUAAUGCCUGUGUCAAAUCAAGAUGCAGACCAGUUGUUAAGUGACAAGUCAGAUUCCCCUCUUGCCCUUGCCAUCCAAGCAUCUCUUGAGGAUGUUGAAGUAAACUUUGGACCCCUUUGUGGUGAUGAUAGUGAUAAUCAAGACUCCACCCAUCACUGGAAUCCAUACAACUUCAACAGUAUGCAGGUAUAGUGUAGAACUGAGUCAUUUCUAACAGUGCUGCAAAAAAUAUUACUGCCAUUAUUGAUUCUUUUAAAGAGUUUUCCCUAUUCAUUAUUCUGUCUAUAAAAUGUACAAAAACAGUGACAAAUUGUCAUCCCAAGUUCUCUCACAC